ACAAAUUACAAAUCUGGUGCUUCCAGCAUGGAGCAGCAACACUCACUGAAGAAGGUAAUUUCAUUCCUAAGAGAUUCCAAUCUGCACUAAAGAGGCCAGGGUAUCAACACAUGUGGUGAACCCUGAUGAGCAGCUGUGCCUGCGUUCCAGCUGCAUCAAGAUUCCAAGGCGUAAUCUGGCAAAGUCAGCUAUGGGAGCGAAGCAACCGAAGCCCGAAUAAUAUGUAUCUUCCAUCCUUGUGAUGCCAGAAAGCUUCAGUAAAGACUCAGGCAGAAUGCACUACAGCAGAUCUAAAGCCGCAUGUUAUAUGUCUGUGAUUCUGAAGCUCGAACAAAACGUUCUCAAAUGCUAUCAACCAACGCGCGGAUCCCUCCAAGUCCUCUCUUCAACCCUUAAGGAAAAAAAAACAAAAAACUUUAUGGGAAUCCUGCCAACUCUCAUUUUUAUAACAAAAGGCCUAAUAAAUUAGUUUUUGAUUCC